rnacentral:misc_RNA from 1 species
CCUCUCACCUCACUUUCUCUAGAAAGCGUGCUUGCUUCCUCCCUCUCCCUCACUGCUCCUCCCGUUUCCAGCAUCGCCUAAUCAACUUCGACGCAUGGCCUUUGGGGCACCUCUCUCUCUCUGCGUGCAUUUCUAUCUGUGUAUAUUGUGCAUGGGCGCCUCUCUCGUCCUCUAGACGGCUUCGUCCGCUUCUCACCCUACUCCAAGUAUCCUUGUGCAAGUGGCCCUCGUCCUCUCUUUCCAUCACCAACCCCUCUUGCUCUCCUCUCUACCCCUCGCCCAUCCCCCUCCCUCCGCUGUCCAGUCCGCUCUCUGCGCGGAACGCUUCACUCUGAGAGUGUUGCCACGCGAGAGUGCGCUCCCUAGCGCCAAAGUAUUUUCAUAGUUUCACCGCUUCUUCAUUUGUGUGCCGUCGCCUCGCAUCCUCCCUCCUCCCCCCUUCCCCCUUCUUUUUUUUUGGUCCCUCGUGCCUCACCGCUUGAGCUCGCUGUCGUGGGUGGCGGUGCACCUGCGCUACCAGCAAGUCCGUGGCCAAAAGCCGAAGGCGGCAGAAGAAGCAGAAGAAGCACGAGGCGGGGGGGGGUGAGGAAGCGCCUCCUCAGAAAGCAUACUGCUGCUGCUGCUUUGUUUGCGUUUUCUUUUGUUACUCCUCAGGCCAAGUCAUCACCCCCUCCCCUUCCCAUCUCUUCCUCCCUUCCCCCUCUUCCUCUCCGCAGCGUCGCGCUUAGUCGCGGCACUCAUCCACUAGUCCUUCUCUGCGUGUAUCUUCUCAAGGGCGUUCAUCCGCACCGGCAACUUCCUGCGUCUAUUCCCUCCCCUCGCCUCCCUUCUUGCGCCCCCAUUCGCUGUGCUCCUGCGAAGCGUCGUCGUCGCCGCCGUCCUGCCGCCUUCUUCACCUUCGCCUGUUUUUCCUUCGCUUUGUAUCCCUCGCUCUCCCUCUCGUUGCCCCGCCCCCCCCCUGCCCCUUCGCCUCCCCUUAUACGCGCACAUACGCCAGAGAUGGGCGCAGGUGGCGUCUCACCGCAGUCCCGCGGAGUGGCGUUGUCACUCACGACAGGCGGCAGCUCGAGGGCGGCUGCCACCACUGCGAGAGCGAAUCCACGUCGCCGAGCGAGCGCACCUAGGGCUGCAGGCACUAGCGGCGCCGCAGCAGCAGCUGGAACCAAACCCGGGGCUGCCAUCUCGUACAUGAAAGGCGACACGCUCCGUGUCAUUGCUCGCCUUCUUAAGCCAGGUGAGACGCUGUCACAGGAAGUGGGGCGAGUGAUGGAAGGUGCGCUGAUCACUGGGCACAGCAUCCCCCCUCCGCCGCCGGAGACGAAGAAAGAGGGGACGGUGUUCGGGUGGUUCGUCGAGGACCUAGAGCGGCCAGGCACGUGGGAGCCGUACGCGAAGGAGUCGGCAGACCGUCUGGAGGACGCCUUCUUGAACAUGCGCGGCACGUGCACGGUCGUCAUGAAGAAGCGCAGCUACACCGUGGACCUUCAUACAAUGCAGCAGCUGCCGGCGGCGUCGGCUGGAGCCGCCAGCACGUACCCCGCGCAGCAGCAGCAGCGCACCCGGGAGGUGAAGCGGGUGCCGGUAGUCACCUAUACUGACCCCAACACCGGUGAGGUGAAGGUGCAAGAGGCGCUGCUGAAAAUGGUGGACCCUUUCAUGGAUGAAGAGGAAGACAACGACAAUGGACAGCCGCAGCAGAUCGCCGAGGGUGCUGGCGACGUCAUCGGUGCUGGUGCUGAUGGUGCUGCCGUAGCCGCCGAGCUCGAAGCUGGUCAUCUGCCACAUCUCAUUCGGACAGUUGUGCCGCACAGCUCGCCCAUCUACACGAUGGAAUGCACUCCGGACGUGCAGCAACUUUGCCCGGAAGCACGUGCCGUCGUCGAUCCUGCUGGGGGUGCGCUGGUGCUCUCUAGCGGGCGUGACCGGCAGCUGCUGGAGUGGAGCAUUGAAACCAGCACUGUCAUCACGCGCUACGAGGUGCCUGGAACCACGUCCAAGAACUCGGUGUUGACGGCGAAUUACUCUUGCACGGCCAAGUGGAUGGUGGCUGGGCUGGACGACUGCACCGCGCGCCUGUACGCCAUCGGCAAUCCGAGCGAGGUCUAUCGCCUGGAGGGGCAUACGCACAAGGUGUACGGCGCUGGGGUGCUGGUCGGCGACGCGCAGGCCGCGACGGCGAGCAUGGACUGCCAUGUGAAGUUGUGGGACAUCGCGACGGGGGUCUGCGUGCGCAGCACGGUGCCCCACAAGUCCCACAUCUUUGCUCUUAGGCCUCACCCAACGGACCCCAACGUUGCCCUGACCGCUGGCGAGGACUGCAAAGUCUGCUUGCACGACUUCCGCCGAGGAAACUCCGUCGCGGCGGUGUUCACGGGGCCCGAUCGCACCAUCUGGGACGUGGACUGGAAUCCUGCUAACAUAACCUUCGCGGCGUGCGGCAUGGACUGCACCACGCGCAUCUUUGACCCUCGCGUCAGCACCACGGCCGUUAAGAUGUUGCGCAGCCACAGCCGCGCGGUGCACAGCAUCAAGUACACGCCGCAGGGGCGAGGGGUGCUGUCGUGCAGCAAGGACUCCUUUGUGAGCCUGGCGGACACCACCAACUGGAGCGUGCAGUGGCAGGCCAAGGCGCACACAACGACUGUCUUUCGUGUGCGCUAUCACGCUGGCAAGUCUGUCAUGGUGACGGCUGGGUCGGACUCCAGCGUGAAUGUGUGGAGCUGGGGGGAGCUGACCCAGCUCUGAGCGCAACGGAGAAAUCACGAGGAACGAAUAGUGAGAAGCGUCUCAGAAAACGACUACGAUAUCACAUGUAUGCUCAGUGUACACGUCGCCUGCGUUUUUUGAAAAUGGUGCCCCUGCUCGUCUGCCUGUACAUAUGUAGGUAUAUGUAUACAUACAUAUAUAUAUGUAUACGUGUGUGUGUGUGUGUGUAUGUGUUUAUGUGUACACGUUUAGAUAUUGUUCUUGCCGGCUGGCGCCUUUGAUUAGGUGCAAGCGGCUCGACGGCAAAGCGUGGAGAGACGAAUCGGUAUGCACGCACGCCGCGCGAACACCCGGACACACCUGCUCUUCUCUUGAUGUUGCCUCCUCCUGUGUGUGCGUCCGUGCGUGCGUGUGUGCACAUGCCAUUGAAUGAUGCGGCGUUCGUCGAAGAGCGGAUGGCAAGAAGACGAAGCAGAGAGAAGAUCAACAGACUUCUCUUUUUUCUUUGUGUGUUUGUGUGUGAACCCCUGCUCAUUAGACCCCCACCCCCAUCCCCGACCCCGACACCUCCGUUUCACCCCAGCAGAGGCUCGAACUGCAUUCUUCUCCUUCUCUCUUUGUAUACUCCUUCUCUCCUUCACUUUGUGUCUACCUCUCCUCCACUGCGAAGUCACAUAUCUCGUCAUGGUGAGGAAUUCUGCUCCCCUCGCCUGUCCUCUCGCCCUCCUCGUGUGGAAGACAAGGCACGCUGCAACGCGGAACCCCACAGCGCUUCGCAUCAGCGCGUGUGUAUGGUGCGCCGCUCCGCUCACUUUUCACACAGAGACACCUCUCUGUGAGUCCGCCAACCACCUGACCGCUUUUUCUUUUUUGUUCUGCUCUGUUUGUGUUGCUGCGCUGUUUUCUUCCCCCC